CAUGGCUUUCCUAGGGAAUCCUUGCAAGUCCCACGCGUGAGCAGCAGGCCUGGGGAGAGGGCAGGACUGCCCCAGCCUGACCUUGCUGCAGGCCUGGCUGCCCAGCGUCCACCCCCUGCUGCUGUGGUGGAGACAGCCCCCAGACACCGGCAGGGCAGGUGGCAAUUAUCCCCGGGCACUGAUUACACCACAAGGCCGGCAGUGCCCUAAAUAGCCCAGGAGCUCAGCCUGGGGGAGGAGAAGGGUCCCGCUGGGAAGGAAGAGGCAGAACCAAGGGAUGCAUAGUGUGGAUGUGUCAGGAAGGACAACGGGGGGCUGGGGGAGGAUUUCAUGCCAAGGCCAGCACCUUUGGGGCAAGCCAGGACCCUCAAAGAAAGGGAUGAGGUUCCGCUGCAGCAGGCUGGCCUAGAGAAAUUAGAUGGGGCACAUGCCAAAUCUGGUCACAGUGAAAAGGUGGUAACCAGCAUGAGGGGCAUGUGGAGAAGGCCUCACUGAUGGAUAGGAGGAGACAGUGGUGCCACUGAGGCCAGGCCGGCUGCAACCCUCCAGCCCUGGCCUGCUGUACCUCUGGACUGAUCAGGAAGGAAUCCCCAAAGAAGGCACACAGCAGGACGGAAGAGAGGCCAAACAAGGGCAGGAAGGCUCCCGGGGGCACCAAUUCCCUCUGCCAGGAAGGUCAGACCAAGCAACUUUGGUCCGUGGUCCCCUUUUCCAGCCUCAGCCAUCCUUUGCUUUUCAUGGAACUGCAACUGGCCAGGCCCCAGGGAUGGCAGCACCAGCAGAGGGGCCCUCCCCUGGGGUCUUCUUCAACCAGAAACAAGUCAGGCAGCGGUGGGCUUCAGAGGUUGAAGGCCUGUGGCGGGGGGCCUCAUGAAAGAACUAUCCUCAGGGCAGGGAGGCCUGGGUUGCUGCCCCCUUCAUUUCUUUCUUUCUUUCUUUUGUUUUUCUUUUUAUCCUUUUGAGACAGAGUCUUGCUCUUUGCCCAGGCUAGAGUGCAGUGGCGUGAUCGUAGCUUACUGCAGCUUCGACCUCCUGGCCUCAAGCGAUCCUCCCCGCUCGGACUCCCAAAGUGCUGGGAUUACAGGGAAGCUCAGUUUCUCAAGCAAGUGCUGGGAUUACAGGGAAGCUCAGUUUCUCAAGCAAGCUGUGCCCUGUAGGCCCUUGGGUGGCAUAAGAGGCAGGCUUCUUUGGGAGUCUCUCUGACUGCCCCCAACCCUGAAGCUGGAUCCUUUUGAGGUUGCUUCUCAGCGAGCAGCAUGAAGGCCCGGAACAGCCGCGUGGGAGGAGGCAUUGGAUACAAACAAGGGAGAAGAGAGGCACCCCCUCUCACCAUGCACCCCAUUUUUCUUCUUGUAUAAGCACCAGUUCUUCUGUAUUGGCCCCCUUCCCACGUGGAGAGCCUAUAUCUAUUGCAUCUUCCCCACCUGUCAGCCAAGGGAGGGGGCUGAGCUGCUGCCCCCCCAUUCCAGAAAAGCUACAGAAAGAAAGCCAGGCCUGAGGUUGUUCCCGAUAUUUACCAAUGUGGGCACAAGGCAGGCUCAAACCUGGUUUCCCAGGGGUCUCUAAUUGAAGAGGUCAUGGUGACCCCAUGGUGCCCAGUGCCUGCACUCCUUCUUGCCAUCCCAGAGGACCCAGCGCCCAUCUGGCAGCGCCCGCUCCAAAGCCACCUAUGAGUUCCCUGGACCCAGGUCAGGAAAGGAGGCUGUCAGUGGCUCCAAACCACCUCUUGCAGCAACUCUGCUAAUCCAAAUAAGAUAGGGAAAAGGCAGUGGGAGGAAAUGAUAGUUUCAUGGUUAUUUUCAGAAAGGAAACAAAAAAAAAAAUGCAAACAGGAGCACACCCUGCAUUUUGGUACAAAAUCUAGGAGUCUCAAGGAAAAGAACCCACAGUUCUUCCUUCUUCUUGUCCUCUCACCAGAUGCUGGGGAGGGGCUGCCCGGGCUGUGGGGGCCUUGGGCUGCUUUUGCCUGUAGGGAAAGGGAGAUGAGGGGCUGCAGGAAGCCAGCAAAGACUCUUCCUGCAAAGGCAGGCCUGGAGAAGCUGAGACAUCUUAGUCUUGUGGGCAGACAGGGCCCACCCUUUGCGGGUGGAGGAGUUGGAGAGAUGGAGUGGAGGGAGCAAGUGGGGAACUGGGAGAUUCUUGAGCUGAUGCUUGUAAAGCGCAGUGGCAUGUGUAGGAUUGGUGGGCUGGGAGGGUGUGUUCUGGGAGCACAGCUCAGAGAGAGAAAUAGAGAAGGGGGAGGGAGAGCAAGAGAGCGUGUGCUCGUGGGAGAAUUGAGUAGGGCUGCUGCCUGCAUGUGUGUGCAGGGCGUGCACAAAGAUGGGAGCCGCAGAGCCCGGGCUGUACACAAAGGAUCGUCCAGGGCCCUGCCAGCUCCAGAAUGUUGUGCGAACCAAGGACAGAGCCUGGCUUCUUGUCCCCAGAGGGAAUCUGGACCUUGCUGUCUAACCUCUGGGUUUCCCUGGACAGUGUGGGGUGCAGCAGGGAAGGAAGCGGUGGCCUGAACUUCUGGGGGCUUUGUCUGCAGUUCCUGUUUGGUGGCUGUCACAGUUGCCAAGACCCCAAGGGUGGGAGGAUGUGGAUGGGAGAGAGGUAGGAGCCAAGGACAGAGCCGGUGGCACAGAGACUAGAAAUCUUAAGUGCCUGCAGAUGAGGUGUUCUAAGAGUAAGGGAGAGAGAGGGAGCUGACAUGAACAACCUAGGGGAGCUGGAGGAGGACCAUGGGAUAGUAGCAGCUCCAUGUCCUCCCCUAGGGCGGGAGAGGUAUCAUUAUCCCCCAUUUCGCAGAUGUGUCAUCUGAGGGCCAGAGAGCUUCAUUGCUGUGUCCAAGUUUCCAUGACUGGUCACAGAAGGAGCUGGUGUGGGGAGAUGGACAGUGAGCAAACUCAGGUGGGUGAUUGGGUGGUCUAGUUGGUGACAAGGGUGUUCCGGGAAAGACAAAGUUAGGCUCAAUACCAGGAAAAUCCUGGUCCCAGGAGGCUGCCUCCAUGGAAGGGUUGGAGGCUUCCCUCCCAGCCUGCCAAACCAGCCCAAUUCCUGAGACCUGGGAGGGUUGGGAGGAGAUGGAGGUAAUGACUCAACUCAUCCAACACAGGCUUGACCUAGGGGAGGUUGGGUAACCCAGCAGACGCUCCAGUGGGGUGAGGAUUGGAAUAAAUGGGUGAUGCUGGAGAUAAGGGCGAAAGGGUGUGCUGGAAGGGAGGGGCUGCUGGUUCCGGGCAGAGUUUGGGAGGAGGAUGGGGUGGGGCACACUUGGGCUUUGUGGAUGAAAAGAGGGAUGAGCUUCUAGGAGCACUGGGUCCUUUCCUGAGAUGAUGGAGGGACCUGUGGUGGUGAUCUGGGAGGAAAACCCAGCAGGUAGGGCAGUGGUUCAGAUGGUAGAUUUAAGGCUGAAAUCCCAAAACGGGGGACUCCCAGCAGUAGGAAUUCUCAGGAGGGCCCCAAAGACAGAGAUUCUGAGCCUUCUGGGGCCCCUGCUGCUCCCUCACUAGGGCAGGAGCUACAUUCAGGAGCCUGCCACCCCCCAGGGCUUUCCAGUCCAUGGAGAAGAAGUGAUCCGAGUACCGCAAACCACUGCGAAGCAUUUCUGGCAUUGGGUUGAAUGGGACCCCAAACCAGAGGAUUGGAUUGUAUAUCAGUUUCUAUAUAUUUUUCAGGCAAAUAUGGGAGAAAAUGGGUUUAAAAACACAAUCCGAGAUGCAAAUGCAGUCACAGAACAUGCCCCAUUGGCUCAGGCCAGAAGAAACUGGAGUCAGGAAAAGAGGCCGGCAGACUCAGAGUCCCAGGAAGCCAAUGGCGCCUUGGAGGCUCUUGGGAGGAUGGAGCGAGAGAGCUGGUGCUUUGAGGCAACGGGAAGCAGGAUCUUUGCAUUUGAGUCUCAUGCCAGCAUUGCUGAGCCCUGGCUCAGUCCCCAGCUGUGAGAUGGGGGUGGGUCUUGCACAGAGUGACAGUCUUGGGACUUCUGCACUUUAGGGCUGAAGAUAUCGUAUGGAUUCUCUAGUGGGACCACUUGAUUUUCUAACAGGGACUUCAAGACCCAGAGAAGGGCUGUGACUUUGCAGAUGUUAUAGAGCUUUGUCCUCAUGUUAAAGCCAGGACUAGAAGCCAGGUCUCCUGACUCCUGAUGCAGUGCAGUACAGAGGGUGUACAUCUGUUCAAUGAUCUACAUCCUCAUUGGAUGGAGAUUUCCAUGUCUUAAGACCCAGAAAAUGCAGUUUCUAACAGUGAAGCUGGGAUUAUUCCUGAGCUUGUCACCUCGGAGCCAUCUGAAUCCUGUGUGAUCUUCUCACCUGAUCUAAUAAGAAUAGUGACUGAGUUCAGACCGGGCUUCCAGCUCCACCUAGAAACGUCUCCCCAUAAUAUAUUCACCUGUCGAAGGAGAAGAGUAUCGCCCACCUCCUCCUCCAACAGUCUUCUUUUGGCUUUUUGGAAAGGACAGCUCUUUUUCAUAAUUUACAUUCGAGUGGAUCCUCUCAACAACUCUGUGGAGAAGGGUAUUAUCCCCACUGUACAGAUGGGAAAAUAGAGGCUCAGCCAAGUUAAGAAAUUCACUUAGGGUCUAAUGCACAGGGAGAGGCAGUGCUGGAACUGGAGCCACAGCCUUGGUCUUUUGUCUGAGCUCUUCAACCAACAGCAAAGGAGAAUCAGGUGGAUGGGCUGAGAGAGGGGAAGGUGGAGGUUGGCCAUGCUUGAAACUGUGGAACCUGACUCUAAGCACCUCAGGAAGAAGAGCACGUCUGGUGGGUUUCCUCCCAGCUCACCACCUCAGGUCCUGUGCUGAGGAGCUGGCGUCUACAGAGCCAUGGUAGGUGGAGGUCACCUGGAGGGAUGUUGUUCCUGUACCAAAAGAAUCCAAAGAUGGAGGCUCCCCGUAUCCCUCCCCAAACCCCAGAAAACUCUGCUCUGUAGCAAGGAGAAGCAACCAGAAUGUAACACAGGGACAUGUCAUCUGGGUUGGACAACUUCCACUAAGCCAGCUGGGCAUACUCCAGAGAUGCCAAGCUGCUCUGUUGUUUCCUGGGGCCUGUGGGCCACUGGGAUUUUCUCUUUCUCCUCCAGGAAAAGGACAAAGAGUGAACAGCCCCACAGGCUAACUGGUGAGCACCCUGGGUUAGUUCUACUCUACCUAGAGUCCAACGGGAUAAUACAUGUCCAGCCUUUAGCACAGCACUUGGCGCAUAGAAAGUCCUCAGCAGCUUAGUGGUUUUGUUAUUGAUGUGGGACCUGAAAGAAGACUGAGAUCCUCCGGGAAGCUUCCCUACACCACCCCAUCCUUCCCACUUACCCCCAAACUCUGAUUUAGGUGCCUUCCUAUCAGAGUGAACCAUUAUCAUGACACCAGUCCCAGUGUAUUGAAAUCAUCUGUUUAUGUGUCUGCUUCCCCGACAGAGCGUAAGAUCUUCAAGGACUGUGUGUUGUUCAUCUUUGGACUGUGUGACCACCCCACCCCCAUGCUGAACACUGUACCUGGCUUAGUAGUUUUGCUAAAUUCAUGGAUGAAUGAAUGAAAUGUGAAGAAGCUCCGGAUGAUGCCAAGUUGCAAGGGAAAGCCAAGAACUGAGGGGAACUUUUGGGAGGCAUGAAAUGGAAGACCAAAAAAGGUGGGGAGAGGGAGGAAGAAAUGUUUUUUUCUCAGGCAUGAAACUGCCUAGGCUAGGCCAUAGAAAUGAUGUUACUAGACGGAGAUUUGCCAGAAUCCAGGGAAAUAGAGAGGAUGUGGCAAGCGGUAUUGCGGAUCAAGUGAUUUUUGGGCUCAGGGCCCGGGAUAUGGGUGAGAAUGUGACCAUAUUGGAAGAACCUGACCAUCCACCAGCUUUUUGCCAAGGGAGAGAACAUGGUCAAUCUAGCCACAGACAAAAGAGGGAGCUGGCUUUGCUGGAGCGAUUUCUGAGAGAUGAGGCCAAGGGAGAUUCCCACUCCUAGGCUGGCCAGCAGGAAGAGUCAUUCAUCUCAUUAGGAACUUGGCACGAAGGCAAGUGUCAACAGGAAGAGAGAAGGCUCUUGGUUAUGGUUCUUGAAGGAGGCACUUCUGUCUCUCCUUGGCCAGGCUGGAGUUUAGGAAUCAUUGGUGGUCUUUGACAUCUCAGAUGUGAAAGAAAGACUAAGGAGACUGCAGUCAGGGGAUGACAGAGCCGAGCAGAGGAAUGGGGGCGUUGAGGGCUGAAAGGACAUGGUACCUGCAGCCCAGGGCUGGCCUGGCAGUCCAGUUAGUACAGGUCGGGGCUCUGCUCAGGGGUCGUGGGGCCUUUCCCUCACUAUUAGCCUUCAGCAUUUUUUGCUUCUUUUGGACACAUUCAUUUCCUUUAAAGCGCUCCCGUGACCUGGUCCCAUACUAUCUCUCCGACUUCAUCUCCUAUUGUCACCUCCCUUCCUUUCCAGCCACUCUGCCUCCAUGUUACUCUUCGAACUUCCAAGAAUACCAUGCUCUCCUGAGGACUUUUGCACCCAGACAGUUCUUCCUCAGAUGGCCACGUGGUCCAUCCUGUCACUUCCUGGGCCUGUGCUGAAAGACGCCUCCCUGUGAAGCCGUCCCAGAUCACUCGUAUGUGAUUGUAAUCCCCUUCUCCCAGUGCUAGCCGUUCUCCUUCCUCUGCUGUAUUUUUCUCCAUAACACACAUCACAAUCGGACACAACACAUAUUUGCUUGUUUGUUUUUUACCUGUUUCUGCCCUGGAGAAGGUAAGCUGUGACAAUGCAGGCCUUUUUGUUCACUGCUAUAACCCCGGUGCCUAGAAGAAUGUGUUGCACAUGGCAGGCCCUUGACACACAUUUAAAUAAAUAAACAAAGCAAUUAACCUUUCUGUGGGACCUUCCACUGAUUGUCAGGAUCUGAAUUCUCACCUCUGCCCUUCCUAGAUGUGUGAGUUUGGACAAGUCACGAACCCCUUUAGGCCUCUGUUUCCUUAUCUGAAAAAGAGCAUGUUGGACUAAAUGGCAUCUUAAAGUCCCUUAUGGCUAAAAUUUAGGGAGAAUCCCUGAAGGAAGUGGGACCUUGAGGUAAGGGCCUGAUGUCCAUGAUUCUCUCGCAGAAUUAAAGCCCUGCAUUCCAUUAAAGCCCUGCAUGCCACCUCUGCCCCCAGACCAGGCCUGGGCAGAAGCAGGGCCACCAGCCCUGCAGCUGGAAGCUAAGAGCUAGCCAGAAGGCUGAGGUCAAGGACUGAUGACUAAGAUGAAGGGAAAGAGAUGGACGGGGCAGAACUGGGGCUGCUGCGUUUUAUUUAAAUCCAUGAUAAGGAUCAGGAAGCAGGCAACAGCCCGAUGACACAUUAAUUAACUUUGCAGAUGAUACUGGAUCAGGAAGGUGUCCCAUCCACCCAUCUCAGCGAGAGAGAUGGGACAAAAGGACCUGAGGAGGGGUCAGGAAUUAGGCCAGGAAAUUACAACAAUGAACUUUGGCUGUGGCCAAGAGGGGAAAGGACUCAUGUUCUCUCGAGUGGAUUGGGGGUAGGGUGGAGAGGAUCUAUUUUCAGAACACAGAUAAGCAGUGGAUGGUAGGGGCUGGGAGUGGUGGCAGGGACCGCGAGGUCCCCUGGUUGUUUGAAUUGAUGUACUGAUCCCCAGUGGAGACAGAGCCUGUUUUCUUGCCACUGUGUUUGGAGGAAGGGGACGGGGUAAGGGACAGGGAAGAUAAAUGACAUUGAUGGAGCACCCACCAUGAACCAGGCACCAUACACAGUAUCUCAUUUAAACUCCGCAACAGCAAUGAUAAGACAAGAGGAAAUAAUGGGUCACAUAGACUAAGAAGUUUCUGAGAGUCACACUGCCAGAAAGUGGCAGAGUUGAGAUUCAGAUGUAGGAGGGAGGCGAUGGUCCCAAAGUGGGUUAAGGGCCCCAGGAGAAAAACCAGAGUAGCUGCCAGGUUAUCAAACUGCCUCUUCAUUUUUAGGACUGAAACCUAAGUAAGUAACAAGUACCCAAAAGAAGACUUUCAUUAGCACCCUGGGGUUCCACGGGUACUGGAAGUUUUCUUCUCUCCCUCCUGCUGGGACCAACCUGACCUUCCUAAGCAGUGCAGAGAAAGGAACGGGGAGGAAUGGAAGACUGUCAGGCAUCUGGACAAUGUGGAGGGGUGACGCCAAGGAAAAAAAAGUGUGAGAGCUCUUGCAGCCUGUUGUGGAAAAGAUACCAAAGGGCUCAAAGGCUCAGUUCUGUUCUGGCCACUAACCUCUCUGUCUUUGGUGAGAACAGGGUACUGAUGGAUUCUAGGUGAGUGAAUGGUCACCUCUGGGGUGAGCCAUUUCAGAGAAUACAGGCCCAUAGACAAGGAUAGGUACCCCUGAAGAGGGCUUGGGGUGUGCCCGGACUCAAGGGUGACAGACAUCUCUAUUCCUCUAGGGAGCUGACAGCUGGAGGCAUUCCUGAAACUCUAGCUAGGAACUCAGUGCGUGACCCAAAAGGGAAUCCCAAACAACAAGUCUAUGAUUGAGCAGUCUGUUUCUGGUUGGGUCAUGAUGCCACAACAAACGGCCCAAGUAGAGAAGGCUGCAGGCCCUGGGCAGGCCUGGUGAGAAGGGCUGACCCAAAGGACAGCCAUUGUGCUCCAAGCAGCAUGAGCAGGGCUCAGGGGCACCAUCGGAGCAAGGAUAGGAUCGGAGGGUGUGGAACCCGAGAGUUUCCCAGGAAUGGGGUGAAGGAAGGGUUGAUAGGAGCAGCACGGGGUGCCUGGGGGCCCGGGAAGGCAUUUCUGAGGCCUAGAGGAAGGACCUUCGUCAUCCAGGGACCCUGGGAGCAGAGCAGGGUCUCGGUAAACCAGAGAAGCCACACAUGUCCUGAGAGAAUGCACUGGGGGUCUCCCUGGAGGAGGCAAGACCCGGAAGCGGGUAGGCAGUAGGAAAGAAGCUGUAUGGAAUCACAGUCUGGCUCCCACCCAGCCUAGAAGUUAGAACAUUUUUGUUGACAUUCUUCUUGUUUGCAGCUCUGUAGCCAUGUUCUGUUUGCAUUAGCUCCCUGGUAAAAUUGCUCAGAAAACAUCCUUCUAGGCAUCUGUGUGUUUGCUAGAGGGGAAGAAAUAGUGUUUCCAGCCUGGGGUCAGAGGCUGGUGGUAGCCAGGAGAGGUGGUGGCAGGAACUGCCCCAAUUCCAGGCUAGAGAUGAACCAGCUGUGAUGGGGAUGGGGACUCUUCCGGAGCAGGAACAGUCAGGGCCUGGUCCUAUCCUGCCCGGGCAUGGACACGUCAGAGGCUUUAUCGUAAAUUGGGGAAAGCUUCAUGACACUACCUCCCACCCUGGCCUACUCCUGUUCUCACAUGGGGCUGUGAAAAUGACCAAUUUUUAAAAAUAUUAGAGAUGGAGUUGAUGGAAAUAUUCAAGCCAAAAGAAUGGUGACACCUCAACAGCUGACGUGCUGGGAGAAGGCUCCAGGGCCAGGGGCUCUCCUGGCCUCUGCGGAUGUCUGACUGGGCCACAGCCUACCUCCUACGCCCAGGUCUGGCCUCAACUUCUUGGUAACUAUAGCCAACCAGAAAUACCACCCAUAUUUUUCUCUGUGAUGGGGCUGCCUUGGGGAUGCCGAAGAGCAGUUUCUGAGCAGGGACACGACAUUUCUGUUGCUUUGUGGCUGACCUGGUCGGCACCUCAGGGUCUGAGAUACAGAUUCCAGUCACAAGCUGGUGGGCCAUUUAUACAAUCUGGUGGGGUAUAGCGCAGCAUUAUACACCAAGCCCCUAAACCUGGGUGAAGCAGAUCAUAUGUGAAAUGCACUGCAGAGGAACCCAGGUGAGUUUUUUUUAGAGGGCAGGCGGGAAGAAGGGGAGAGAGCAAAGACUGACUUGUGCAAAGACAGCUCUACAACAAGCCUCAAGGGAUAAAGCCUUCCAAGGACUAUGGGGAACAAGGUGAGGGGUGCAAAAUGCAGAUGCAGACACAGGAAAGAAGUGGAGGUUACAUUUUCCUCAAGAGAAAUGGAGACAGCUCUAGGGCUGGCAAAUUAAGUUAAGGAGGAGGAAUGUUCUAGGGAAGACAGCUUGGAGGAUAGGAGAAGCAUUGCUUUUAUGGGAGGUAGAAAUCAUAAGGUAUGGCAGUUUGAGGCUAUGCAAAUAUUCCCUGUGUGUUCUCCAAAUCCCAAAUGUCCUUUCUUCCUUUCAAGGCAUUGGAUCCCUGGGUCAUUCAUAGGAGCUGGUUUUCAGCGAGGUUCACCUUUACCAGGCAGCUCCAAAUAGUGAGGCCUAGAGGAAUCCCAUCCAAGCGGGAUUAAAAUUAUAGAAGUUUAAAACCUGAUUUUUUUCCAGUUAUCUGACCACAGAAGAGCUGCCAAUCUCUCUGGUCAUCUUGCCAACCCUGAAGAACCUCGGUCAAGUCUCCACCUGUUUUUCAGGCUUCAAAAGCUUUGGCAAGAGAACUACUCAGUGUGGCUGACAGGCCCUCCAGGGUCCUGUUCUGGCAUUCCCUAAGACUGUCUCUAGAGAAAUUGUUCAUAAACCGGGAGAUCUCCUCCCUUCUACCCCCAAAUACCCAUUGGAAGCUGGAAAGAAGGUUCUAGAAGAUUCCCAGUCACCAGCCCUGACUCCCAUGAAUUUACCUAACCUGUUCGCCUAAUCCCUCUGGCAGUGUGAGGCUUACAGAAGGGUGGAGGGGAAUUCUAUUCUCCUGGUACCACAGUAAACACUCAAAACUAUUUGAAACACCAGAACCUUGCACAAAAUUCUGACCUACUUCGAAUAACACCAAGUUCCACAUUUCCACUUUGAGAGUUUUCAGAGGAAGAACAGCAAAAUUAGGCAUAACAACCUAUCAAACAAACCACCAGCCAAAAACAAACCAAGACAAAAAACAGGCCAAACUAAAGCUUUAUGCUAUAAAAACAAGAAAUAAAA